rnacentral:rRNA from 1 species
GACGAACGCUGGCGGCGUGCCUAAUACAUGCAAGUUGAGCGAUGAAGAUUGGUGCUUGCACCAAUUUGAAGAGCAGCGCACGGGUGAGUAACGCGUGGGGAAUCUGCCUUUGAGCGGGGGACAACAUUUGGAAACGAAUGCUAAUACCGCAUAACAACUUUAAACAUAAGUUUUAAGUUUGAAAGAUGCAAUUGCAUCACUCAAAGAUGAUCCCGCGUUGUAUUAGCUAGUUGGUGAGGUAAAGGCUCACCAAGGCGAUGAUACAUAGCCGACCUGAGAGGGUGAUCGGCCACAUUGGGACUGAGACACGGCCCAAACUCCUACGGGAGGCAGCAGUAGGGAAUCUUCGGCAAUGGACGAAAGUCUGAGCGAGCAACGCCGCGGGAGUGAAGAAGGUUGUCGGAUCGUAAAACUCUGUUGGUAGAGAAGAACGUUGGUGAGAGUGGAAAGCUCAUCAAGUGACGGUAACUACCCAGAAAGGGACGGCUAACUACGUG